rnacentral:rRNA from 1 species
AGCGAACGCUGGCGGCAGGCUUAACACAUGCAAGUCGAGCGGGCAUAGCAAUAUGUCCGCGGCAGACGGGUGAGUAACGCGUGGGAACGUACCUUUUGGUUCGGAACAACUGAGGGAAACUUCAGCUAAUACCGGAUAAGCCCUUACGGGGAAAGAUUUAUCGCCGAAAGAUCGGCCCGCGUCUGAUUAGCUAGUUGGUGAGGUAAUGGCUCACCAAGGCGACGAUCAGUAGCUGGUCUGAGAGGAUGAUCAGCCACAUUGGGACUGAGACACGGCCCAAACUCCUACGGGAGGCAGCAGUGGGGAAUAUUGGACAAUGGGCGCAAGCCUGAUCCAGCCAUGCCGCGUGAGUGAUGAAGGCCCUAGGGUUGUAAAGCUCCUUUGUGCGGGAAGAUAAUGACGGUACCGCAAGAAUAAGCCCCGGCUAACUUCGUG